rnacentral:rRNA from 1 species
UGUGUCAGGUGUGAAAUCUCGGGGCUUAACUCCGAAACUGCGCCUGAAACUGUCUAUCUUGAGUCUCGGAGAGGAGAGCGGAAUUCCAGGUGUAGCGGUGGAAUGCGUAGAUAUCUGGAAGAACACCAACGGCGAAGGCAGCUCUCUGGACGAGUACUGACGCUGAGGCACGAAAGCGUGGGUAGCAAAAGGGAUUAGAUACCCCGGAUAGUCCACGCCGUAAACGUUGCUCACUCGGUUUUGGCGGAUUCGACCCCGUCAGAGCCUAAGCUAACGUGAUAAGUGAGCCGCCUGCGGACUACGGCCGCAAGGCUAAAACGUAAAGGAAUUGACGGGCCCCCGCACAAGCGGUGGAGCAUGUGGCUUAAUUCGAUGCAACGCGAAGAACCUUACCCAGGUUUGACAUGCAAUGGACCGGGCGUGAAAGCGUCCUUCUCUCCGGAGCCGUUGCACAGGUGCUGCAUGGCUGUCGUCAGCUCGUGUCGUGAGAUGUUCGGUUAAGUCCGUCAACGAGCGCAACCCCUGUCCUUAGUUGCCAGCGGUCCGGCCGGGGACUCUAAGGAGACAAACCCUGAUACAGGGUGGGAAGGUGGGGAUGACGUCAAGUCAGUAUGGCCCUUACGCCUGGGGCUGCACACGUGCUACAAUGCCCGGUACAGUGGGAAGCGAAACCGCGAGGUGGAGCAAAUCCUCAAAGCCGGGCCCAGUUCGGAUUGGAGUCUGCAACUCGACUCCAUGAAGCCGGAA